GACGAACGCUGGCGGCGGGCUUAACACAUGCAAGUCGAACGGAAAGGCAGUGCGUGUGUGGGGUGCUCGAGUGGCGAACGGGGGAGUAACACGUGAGUAACCUGCCCUUGACUUUGGGAUAACUUCAGGAAACUGGGGCUAAUACCGUAUAGGAGCUCCUGCUGCAUGGUGGGGGUUGGAAAGUUUCGGCGGUUGGGGAUGGACUCGCGGCUUAUCAGCUUGUUGGUGGGGUAGGGGCUGACCAAGGCUUGGACGGGUAGCCGGCCGGAGAGGGGGGCCGGCCACCAUAGGACUGAGAGACGCCGCAGACUCCUACGUGGGACAAUAGGCGGGAGCAUUGUCCAAUGGGCCCAAGCCGGUGGAGGAAGCCCCCCGGGCGUGAUGACCGUCUGCUGGUUGUGAACCGCUUUAGGUUGUGACGAAGCGGUAGUGACGGUAACGGGUGAAGAAGCACCGGCUAACUACGUG
rnacentral:rRNA from 1 species